UUUCAGAUGACGACUCACAGUUUGGAAGGAGAUGAAUCCAGUCAAUUGGACAGCUGAGAGGAGGAUCGCUGGAUCUUCUACACAGUCUACCAACUAUGAACAGUUUUUCUGUGAUUUCUAAACCUUGGCCUCAGUUUCCCCACGAUGCAGGGUGUACAGAUGGUGAACAGCGCUCUGUGACGACGCCCAUGGGUGGGUGAG